UCAGAUUCAGAAAAACCAGGGAUCUUUAAUGCCUCUGCAGUUACUCCAGUGCAUUGUUGAUGAGGAAUCGCCCGUCCUUCCGGUUGGGGAGUUCUCCGAGCCGUUUGUACACUUCAUCACUCAAUGCAUGAGAAAACAGCCCAAGGAACGGCCUGCUCCGGAAGAGUUAAUGGUGAGU